CAGCUCAUAGUUUCGGGUAGAAGUACUCUUCGCUCAGAUUGUUUUACGAAGCCUAACUGAGGUAGAAACUUUUCGCCUAAGGGGAUCCAGCUCAUAUUUUGGGUAGAAGUACUCUUUGCCCAUGCUCGUUUUCGCAUUUUAACCCAGGUAGAACAUUUUCGCCUAGGGGGAUCCAACUCAUAGUUCAGGGUAGAAGUACCCUUCGCUCAAGUUGUUUUACGUAGCUUAACCCAUGUAGAACGUUGUCGCCUAGAGGGAUCCAGCUCAUAGUUCCGGGUAGAAGUACUCUUCACUCGAGAUGUUUUACAUAGCUUAACCCAGGUAGAACAUUUUCGCCUAGGGGGAUCCAGCUCAUAGUUCAAGGUAGAAGUACUCUUCGCUUAGGAUGUCUUACGCGCUUAACCCAUGUAGAACCUUUUCACCUAGGGGGAUCCAGCUCAUAUUUCCGGGUAGAAGUACUCUUCAGCAAAGCUUGUUUUUCGUAGCUUAACCGAGAUAGAACCUUUUCGCCUAGAGGAUCCAGCUCAUAGUUCCAGGUAAAAGUACUCUUCACUCAGGUUGUUUUAUGUAGCUUAACCCAGGUAGAACAUUUUCGCUUAGGGAGAUCCAGCUCAUAGUUUCGAGUAGAAGUACUCUUCGUUCAGAUUGUUUUACGAAGCCUAACUGUGGUAGAAACCUUUUGCCUAAGGGGAUCUAGCUCAUAUUUCGGGUAGAAGUACUCUUUGCCCAUGCUCGUUUUGGCAUUUUAACCCAGGUAGAACCUUUUCGCCUAGGGGGAUCCAACUCAUAGUUCCGGGUAGAAGUACACUUUGCUCAGGUUAUUUUACGUAGCUUAACCCAUGUAGAACGUUGUCGCCUAGAGGGAUUCAGCUCAUAGUUCCGGGUAGAAGUACUCUUGGCUCGAGAUGUUUUCCGUAGCUUAACCCAGG
rnacentral:lncRNA from 1 species